AGCUCCAAUAGCGUAUAUUAAAGUUGUUGCAGUUAAAAAGCUCGUAGUUGGAUUUCUGGUUUGAUGCGCUUGGCCCGCCAUGUCUACAUGUGUGAGUGCCGACGCGCGUCUACCAUCCUUCUAGAGAACGUUUCUACCCUUCAUUGGGCCGGACUCGCAAUCUAGAUCUUUUACUUUGAAAAAAUUAGAGUGUUCAAAGCAGGCUUGUGCUGUGAAUACAUUAGCAUGGAAUAAUAAUUUAGGACUUUAGCCCUAUUUUGUUGGUUUCUAGGACUGAAGUAAUGAUUGAUAGGGAUAGUUGGGGGUGCUAGUAUUCAGCGGCCAGAGGUGAAAUUCUUGGAUUCGCUGAAGACUAACUUAUGCGAAAGCAUUCACCAAGGAUGUCUUCUUUA
rnacentral:rRNA from 1 species